rnacentral:tRNA from 1 species
GCCGCUGUGGUGAAAUUGGCAGACGCAACGGACUCAAAAUCCGUCGGGGGCGACCCCGUGCCGGUUCGACUCCGGCCAGCGGCACCA